CAAAAACAUCGUCUUCCGAAAAUCCUUGAUAGAAGAUAAUGCCUGCCCAGUGAAAUUUUAAACGGCCGCGUUAGCGUGAGCGUGCUAAGGUAGCGUAAUAAUUAGCCUUUUAAUUGAAGGCCAGUGAAUGGCAAGACUAGGAAUAUCUUUACUCUGUAUAUAAAAAAAACUUCUUAUCCAAGUGAAAAAACUUAGAUAAUAAAAGUAGACGAAAAGACCCCGCGGAGCUUUACCUUUUCUUAUACUAUUGUAUAUCCUCUAUAAGUAACUAAGGUUUGAUUGGGGCAAUCUUGGAACCAAUAAAGCUUCCAAUUCUUAAUAAAAUCUAUUUAAAAUUUAUUAAGGACCAAAAAGAAGUUACCCC
rnacentral:rRNA from 1 species